UAGGGAAUCUUCGGCAAUGGGGGGAACCCUGACCGAGCAACGCCGCGUGAGUGAAGAAGGUUUUCGGAUCGUAAAGCUCUGUUGUUAAGGAAGAACGAGUGUGAGAAUGGAAAGUUCAUACUGUGACGGUACUUAACCAGAAAGGGACGGCUAACUACGUGCCAGCAGCCGCGGUAAUACGUAGGUCCCGAGCGUUGUCCGGAUUUAUUGGGCGUAAGCGAGCGCAGGCGGUUAGAUAAGUCUGAAGUUAAAGGCAGUGGCUCAACCAUUGUAGGCUUUGGAAACUGUUUAACUUGAGUGCAGAAGGGGAGAGUGGAAUUCCAUGUGUAGCGGUGAAAUGCGUAGAUAUAUGGAGGAACACCGGUGGCGAAAGCGGCUCUCUGGUCUGUAACUGACGCUGAGGCUCGAAAGCGUGGGUAGCAAACAGG
rnacentral:rRNA from 1 species